UGGGACUUCGUUUGCUGAGGAGGU
rnacentral:piRNA from 1 species